AGCAGCCAUCCCAGCAGGACCGGGAGUCCGGGGCUCAGCUGAUUCCACUGCUGGAGCAGGUCACAGAGGACAGCCAGAGCCAGGUCCAGGGCGCUGGAGGCAUCCACCUGACAGAAGGCGAAUUCUGCAGACGAGAGAGCAAGGGCUCACAGCACUAUGGGGAAGAACAUAAUUUCAUCCACCAGCAAAACCAGUGCCUGCAGCUCGUGCAGCACUCCCAAUGGGUCCAUGAAGACCACUCGGAAGUGAUCAGAGAUGCCACCAGGAAGGCCGGACUGUUGCACCUGCCCCACCUGAGGACCAGUGUCCCCUGUCCUGCACCAUGGGGCUGGGCAUCACACCUAGGAAGUGCCAGGGGAGUCCUGGGGAUGACUGAAGCUCUAGAGGAGAGCUGGUGUGUUGUCUGGAAGCAAAUCUACUAGAAUUACAACCAUCCAAACACCGACCCCACCAGAAGAAGCAGCCCAUGUGCCGGUCGGUGCUCCCACGGGCAGCCCCAGCGGAAACUGAGACCACGGCCCACGCAUCCACUGCUGGACGUCGUGCCCUGGAUGACAGCCAGCCCCUCCCCUCACUCCCAACCUGCCCAUGGUACUAAGUCUGCCCGGGAACUCCGACUUCAGCUGGUCCAGGGAAUUUCUUCUCAGCCUGAGCGCUCAGGACUGACUAGCUCCUUCCGAGUUCUUUGUGAAGCUUCUCUGGCCCUCAGAUGGGGGGCUGCCCAGCUUCCUUAAGACACCGGUGGGAUAUGGAAGGUGGAAGAUGAGGAUGGUCUGGGUGUGUAUCUAAAGACUAGAAAUUUGAAAUCAGAAACAUCCCGGAUGGUGGAACUUCCCUGGUGGUCUAGAGGCUAAGGCUCUGAGCUCCCAAUGCAGAGGGCCUGGGUUUGACCCUAGGGAACUAGAUCCCACAUGCCAUGACGAAGAUCAAAGAUCCCACAACUGAGACCCAGUGCAGUCAAACAAACAAAUAGCUACAUUUAAAAAAAGAAGAAGAAGAAAAAGAAACAUCCAGGAUGGUCAUUUUUCUCUCCUGAGAACCUUCCCACUAUCACCUCCUGCCUUCUCCCAAAUCCAGAAAGCUACUCUUUAGAUGCCCACUCCUCAUUCUCAGGCUUUUAUGGCUCUAAACAGAACAAAGAGAGUCCUUGGUAAUGCAAUGAGCAAAAGUGAAAAGUGAAAGUGUUAGUCAUUCAGUUGUGUCUGACUCUUUGUGACCCCAUGGACUGUAGUCCGUCAGGCUCCUCUGUCCAUGGAAUUCUCCAGGCAAGAAUACUGGAGUGGGCUGCGGCAGGGGAUCUUCCCGACCCAGGGAUCAAACCCAGGUCUCCUCCAUUGCGGAGGAUUCUUUACAAAACAAGGAAUAAAUGACUC